UACGUAGGGUGCGAGCGUUAAUCGGAAUUACUGGGCGUAAAGCGUGCGCAGGCGGUUCGUUAAGUUCGUUGUGAAAGCCCCGGGCUCAACCUGGGAACUGCAAUGGAAACUGGCGGGCUUGAAUGCGGCAGAGGGGGGUGGAAUUCCGCGUGUAGCAGUGAAAUGCGUAGAGAUGUGGAGGAACACCGAUGGCGAAGGCAGCCCCCUGGGUCAAGAUUGACGCUCAUGCACGAAAGCGUGGGGAGCAAACAGG
rnacentral:rRNA from 1 species